rnacentral:misc_RNA from 1 species
CCUUAAAGAACCUGCCUUUGCAGUGCUCACACAGAUUGUCUGAUGAACGUAAAGAAGCAAGGCGUCUUGCGAUUGAGACUUCAGUGUCCCCUUCGUCUAGAGGCCCAGGACACCGCCCUUUCACGGCGGUAACAGGGGUUCGAAUCCCCUAGGGGACGCCACUUGCUGGUUCGUGAGUGAAAGAGGCGUGCCGAACUAUCUCAAAACUCAUCUUCGGGUGACGUUUGAGAUAUUUGCUCUUUAAAAAUCUGGAUCAAGCUGAAAAUUGAAACGACACACAGUUAAUGUGUGUUCGAGUCUCUCAAAUUUUCGCAAUCUGAAGACAUCUUCGGGUUGUGA